rfam:Schistosoma mattheei strain Denwood, Zambia genome assembly, scaffold: SMTD_scaffold0006492
AUACUGCUGAGGAGUCCCACAAUAGGACGAAAUGACCGUCCAGAGUAU